rnacentral:tRNA from 1 species
GGAGAGGUACCGAAGCGGUCAUAACGGCACCGACUCGAAAUCGGUUGAUCCUUAACUGGGUGCGCGGGUUCGAAUCCCGCCCUCUCCG